GACGAACGCUGGCGGCGUGCUUAACACAUGCAAGUCGAGCGGUAAGGCCCUUUCGGGGGUACACGAGCGGCGAACGGGUGAGUAACACGUGGGUGACCUGCCCUUAGCUCUGGGAUAAGCCUGGGAAACUGGGGUCUAAUACCGGAUAUGACUCCAUAACGCAUGUUGUGGGGUGGAAAGCCUUGUGCGGCUAGGGAUGGGCCCGCGGCCUAUCAGCUUGUUGGUGGGGUGAUGGCCUACCAAGGCGACGACGGGUAGCCGGCCUGAGAGGGCGACCGGCCACACUGGGACUGAGACACGGCCCAGACUCCUACGGGAGGCAGCAGUGGGGAAUCUUGCGCAAUGGGCGAAAGCCUGACGCAGCGACGCCGCGU
rnacentral:rRNA from 1 species